UUCAUUGGAUAUUGGCAUCAUGGGUGACUAAGUAGAUCUCAUGAGAGUAGUUUCUGAGUUAUUUUGCAAAUAUAAAAGCCUGUCCUUGAAAGGGAAUUUCUCUGGGAAAAAGGAUAAGGAAGAAGAAAGAGGCACUACUCUUCAACCUUCAUCCUAAACUAGAUCUCUGUCUUCAAAGAGGAGGCAGGGGCAAAAAAACAACAACAAACAACCCUAUUAGAAAUAAGCAGGAACAUUUUGCACUGAAGGACAAUGUGAUUUGGCUCCCUCUUCAACUUUGUGGGUCUUCCCAUUCAGCUUCUGAGACUGUGCAUGAUGAACCUAAGUUAAAUAGGCAACACCAAUUUUGGUAAGGAAAAGAAAAAUCACAUUAUAUGAUGGGCAAGUGUACCCAAGUGGCAACCAUCUCUGCUUUGACAUGUUUGGUUCAGAUUCCUCAGGUGAAACUGCAAGAGAAUUGUACAAACAGUGAUCU